rnacentral:rRNA from 1 species
GACGAACGCUGGCGGCGUGCCUAAUACAUGCAAGUAGAACGCUGAAGGAGGAGCUUGCUUCUCUGGAUGAGUUGCGAACGGGUGAGUAACGCGUAGGUAACCUGCCUGGUAGCGGGGGAUAACUAUUGGAAACGAUAGCUAAUACCGCAUAAGAGUAGAUGUUGCAUGACAUUUGCUUAAAAGGUGCAAUUGCAUCACUACCAGAUGGACCUGCGUUGUAUUAGCUAGUUGGUGGGGUAACGGCUUACCAAGGCGACGAUACAUAGCCGACCUGAGAGGGUGAUCGGCCACACUGGGACUGAGGCACGGCCCAGACUCCUACGGGAGGCAGCAGUAGGGAAUCUUCGGCAAUGGACGGAAGUCUGACCGAGCAACGCCGCGUGAGUGAAGAAGGUUUUCGGAUCGUAAAGCUCUGUUGUAAGAGAAGAACGAGUGUGAGAGUGGAAAGUUCACACUGUGACGGUAUCUUACCAGAAAGGGACGGCUAACUACGUG